rnacentral:rRNA from 1 species
UACGUAGGGGGCUAGCGUUGUCCGGAAUCAUUGGGCGUAAAGCGCGUGUAGGCGGCCCGGUAAGUCCGCUGUGAAAGUCGGGGGCUCAACCCUCGGAUGCCGGUGGAUACUGUCGGGCUCGAGUACGGAAGAGGCGAGUGGAAUUCCUGGUGUAGCGGUGAAAUGCGCAGAUAUCAAGGAGGAACACCAAUUGCGAAGGCAGCUCGCUGGGACGUUAACUGACGCUGGAGACGCGAAAGCGUGGGGAGCAAACAGG